rnacentral:lncRNA from 1 species
CCUGGUUGUUAGCCAUUAGUCCUUAUGAUCUUGUCUUGCUUCUCAAGCAAAGCGGUAAGGCCAGAUACGUUUCCCGUCAAUGUUUGUAACUUGGUCUUGAAGCUGAGAUAUGAUUGCAGAGUUCUGUGAUAACACUCCUAGUUUAGAUAGAGUCACUCCCUUUCCAACCGCUCUUACACAGCCAUACGUUCAGGUCCAAGAACGUGUAAGGGGGUCAUUUCUUAUAGUUUCUUGAGAGGGGUCUGUUGGUGCUGAAUCUCUGAUUUCUCUUAUCAUUUUCUGUAUGCACAAUAAAUAAGAAACAAAGAAUUCAUGAUGCUCAACAAUUACCACAUAUAUACAAUUAAAAGAAAUAAAAGAGAGGGGAGGGAUGGGGUGGUGUGUGUGUCUUAAUCUAUGUACCAUUUUCUCAGCAACAUUCUCGUUCGAUGCUUCACUAUUUUUCUUCGUAUGCCCUUGCAUCCAAA